AAUAAGUAAAGUUGUAGGUACUUUCAAGAAAUAUAGUUAACUGUAAGUGCUGUAUUUUAAUAAUGUGUCAAAAAUCAAAAUCAUCAGGAUAAUAUUAGGUAUUGAUUUUCAAACAAGAAUUAGAUUACAGCGAUUGUCAAAAGCAUUUAGAUAUUGCUUUGAAAUCUACAGAUAAGGUAUGGCAGUUUCGUUUUAAAGAACAAGAUGUUAAAGUUUAUGAUAAAAUUGUCAUCAGAAAUACUGUCCACUUGCAGUAUUUACAUAGGAAAAUGUUGGAGGAUGAAGCUCUACCUACUGCCUCAGGUUAAUUUAAAUUCUGAGUUGCAACAACAGCAACAAGCAAGAAGGGCACCAUUAAAUGAAUAUUAUACACAUAAGUAUUAUUAUACAAAGAAAGAGUAAUGUUAUACACAUAAAUAUUAACAUUUUGUAGAGCAACAACAGAAUAAAAAACCAAAAUAUGAACACCAGCAACUAAAACAGGAACCAUUAAAUGAAUAUUAUACCCAGCAAUAACAGCAUCAAAUAAUGGAAAUAAUGGACCUUAUUGCACAAAUCAAAAACAAAAUUUCAGCAUUACUACUUUAUUGGUUAUAUCAAUAAAAGAAAUUGAGUUUAUCAGUCUAGAUCCUACAAGCAAGCAGAUCUAUCACAUAAUUUUAAAUAAAGAUUUAUCUAUCAUAGUAAUUUAUUCUAAUAACGAAAAAAAAACUUUGGAUCAAAAAAUAUUUUCUUCUGAUGAGGUUUAUGAAUAUUAAAGUCUGUUGAAGUUUGGCCAUUAUGUGUUGGUAUACAAUUUAUUUAUGAUGUUACAGUAGUUAAACCAUCCGAGUACGAAACAUGUUUAAUAUCCACUAUUCUUAAUGAAUGGAAACUACCAACUUGAGAGGAAGCUAAGAGAAAGGUU